rnacentral:rRNA from 1 species
CUAACACAUGCAAGUCGAACGAAGCACCUUGGGAGAUUCUUCGGAUGAUCUUAUGGUGACUGAGUGGCGGACGGGUGAGUAACGCGUGGGUAACCUGCCCUGUACAGGGGGACAACAGCUAGAAAUGGCUGCUAAUACCGCAUAAGCGCACAGGAAGACAUCUUCCGGUGUGAAAAACUCCGGUGGUACAGGAUGGGCCCGCGUCUGAUUAGCUUGUUGGCGGGGUAACGGCCCACCAAGGCGACGAUCAGUAGCCGGUCUGAGAGGAUGAACGGCCACAUUGGAACUGAGACACGGUCCAAACUCCUACGGGAGGCAGCAGUGGGGAAUAUUGCACAAUGGGGGGAACCCUGAUGCAGCAACGCCGCGUGAGUGAAGAAGUAUUUCGGUAUGUAAAGCUCUAUCAGCAGGGAAGAUGAUGACGGUACCUGACUAAGAAGCUCCGGCUAAAUACGUGCCAGCAGCCGCGGUAAUACGUAUGGAGCAAGCGUUAUCCGGAUUUACUGGGUGUAAAGGGUGCGU